UACGGAGGGUGCAAGCGUUAAUCGGAAUUACUGGGCGUAAAGCGUGCGCAGGCGGUUUGGUAAGUCUGCUGUGAAAUCCCCGAGCUCAACUUGGGAAUUGCAGUGGAUACUGGCAGGCUGGAGUAUGGUAGAGGAAGGUGGAAUUCCCGGUGUAGCAGUGAAAUGCGUAGAGAUCGGGAGGAACACCAGUGGCGAAGGCGGCCUUCUGGACCAAUACUGACGCUCAUGCACGAAAGCGUGGGGAGCAAACAGG
rnacentral:rRNA from 1 species